rnacentral:rRNA from 1 species
GAUGAACGCUAGCUACAGGCUUAACACAUGCAAGUCGAGGGGAAACGAUAUUGGAAGCUUGCUUCCGACAGGCGUCGACCGGCGCACGGGUGAGUAACGCGUAUCCAACCUGCCCACCACUUGGGAAUAACCUUGCGAAAGUAAGACUAAUACCCAAUGACGUCUCUAGAAGACAUCUGAAGGAGAUUAAAGAUUUAUCGGUGAUGGAUGGGGAUGCGUCUGAUUAGCUUGUUGGCGGGGUAACGGCCCACCAAGGCGACGAUCAGUAGGGGUGCUGAGAGGAAGGUCCCCCACAUUGGAACUGAGACACGGUCCAAACUCCUACGGGAGGCAGCAGUGAGGAAUAUUGGUCAAUGGGCGAGAGCCUGAACCAGCCAAGUAGCGUGCAGGAUGACGGCCCUAUGGGUUGUAAACUGCUUUUAUAAGGGAAUAAAGUGAGUCUCGUGAGACUUUUUGCAUGUACCUUAUGAAUAAGGACCGGCUAAUUCCGUGCCAGCAGCCGCCGUAA